GGCCUCCCUCCCGCCUGCCCCGCCGCCUGGCUCGGAGAUCCUUCGCCCAGAGUUCUCCAUUCUCAGGAUCCCGGGCUCGCGGGGGUGCGGAGAAGAGGACCCAGGAAAGACCCAGUGCUUCAUGCUCACACACCUGUGCCUCAGUGGCUGCACUGAAUUCCUAGGAAGAGUACUGAUGUGCUGAGUUAUUCAACAAGUUGGGGAAGGAUCGGAGAAGUGAGCCCAUUCUAAGAGUAAAAACCAAGUUUUCCUGCUGCUACCGUCAGAGUGAAUUCUGGAGCUCUGGUGCGUGUGUGGUCCAGCCAGUUGGACAAUUGCUUCAAGAAUGCAGGAUGACAAUCAAUUGAACCAUUGCUGUGGACCAAGUUUAAGACUCUUCUUCUGCUUCAUGACCAAAGGAACUCCUCUUUGAUGGACCCAGAACUACCCUCUCCUACAAAGACCCUCCUCAGUAAAAAAACAGCUCUAA